GACGAACGCUGGCGGCGUGCUUAACACAUGCAAGUCGAACGGAAAGGCCCUGCUUUUGUGGGGUGCUCGAGUGGCGAACGGGUGAGUAACACGUGAGUAACCUGCCCUUGACUUUGGGAUAACUUCAGGAAACUGGGGCUAAUACCGGAUAGGAGCUCCUGCUGCAUGGUGGGGGUUGGAAAGUUUCGGCGGUUGGGGAUGGACUCGCGGCUUAUCAGCUUGUUGGUGGGGUAGUGGCUUACCAAGGCUUUGACGGGUAGCCGGCCUGGGAGGGUGACCGGCCACAUUGGGGCUGAGCUACGGCCCAGACUCCUACGGGAGGCAGCAGUGGAGAAUAUUGCACAAUGGGCGGAAGCCUGAUGCAGCAACGCCGCGUGCGGAAUGACGGCCUUCGGGUUGUAAACCGCUUUCGCCUGUGACGAAGCGUGAGUGACGGUAAUGGGUAAAGAAGCACCGGCUAACUACGUG
rnacentral:rRNA from 1 species